rnacentral:rRNA from 1 species
GAUGAACGCUGGCGGCGUGCCUAAUACAUGCAAGUCGAGCGAACGGACGAGAAGCUUGCUUCUCUGAUGUUAGCGGCGGACGGGUGAGUAACACGUGGAUAACCUACCUAUAAGACUGGGAUAACUUCGGGAAACCGGAGCUAAUACCGGAUAAUAUUUUGAACCGCAUGGUUCAAAAGUGAAAGACGGUCUUGCUGUCACUUAUAGAUGGAUCCGCGCUGCAUUAGCUAGUUGGUAAGGUAACGGCUUACCAAGGCAACGAUGCAUAGCCGACCUGAGAGGGUGAUCGGCCACAAUGGAACUGAGACACGGUCCCGACUCCUACGGGAGGCAGCAGUAGGGAAUCUUCCGCAAUGGGCGAAAGCCUGACGGAGCAACGCCGCGUGAGUGAUGAAGGUCUUCGGAUCGUAAAACUCUGUUAUUAGGGAAGAACAUAUUUGUAAGUAACUGUGCACAUCUUGACGGUACCUAAUCAGAAAGCCACGGCUAACUACGUG